rnacentral:tRNA from 1 species
CAGAGUAUAGCUAAACAAGGAAAGCACCUCCCUUACACCGAGAAGACCUCCGUGCAAAUCGGAUUACUCUGA